UUCAGAAGACUUAGUUGUGGGUCUUAGAAUAAGUCCAUCUGAGAAGUCAGAAAACAGUAUUUGAGUAAUGUGGGUUCAGAAAAAAAAUCUGAGUACCACCAAGCAUGUGCUCUCCUACUGUUCUAACACAAAGAAAUGGAACAGAAAGGGAGAACACUGAGGGCGUUAAGGAAGUGACUUUAACAUGUGCUGAGAGGCAGGAAGUGAGGAAACCUCAAGGAAGUCUCUUUAACUCACUUGGCUCUAUGCAGAAUGUCGAGACUGGGACAAGACAAGAUGGUGUAGAAGACAUAUGUACUUUCUAUGGCACGUAAUCCAAUGGAGAGAACUUUUAGACCGCAGGACACUGACGCAUGCAGAUGACCUAAGCCUGGAGCCUGCCCAUGAUCCUCGACGUCUCCUUUCUCCUCACUUACCAGAUACAAACCAGUAAAGCUGCUUCCAGACAGCUUAACACCGUAUGUCUCUUCUGACUCUGUUCACUUCUGUUCCCACAUGUGAUCAUAUCCCCAUCAAUUUACUCUAGAAUUACUGCAUUAGUCUCUUAUCUCUAUAACCCCAACCCCAUCUUCCUCUCCAAUCUGUUUUCAUACUGCAACAAUAGUAAACUUAUUGAAACAUAAAUUUGAUCACAGCAGAUUUUGGAGAGCUGAUGAGGAUAAUAAUCAAAGCAGCAAGGUAGAAGAGCCUGGAGACUAUGGAUAGAAAGUUACAAACAGAAGGAUCUAAAGAACAUUGAUCUCACCUCUUUCAUUUAACAGAGGAAAAGUUUAGGGCACAGUAAGUCAACAAAAGUGGUUUGUCCGAAGGGAUACA